GGUGCUUGCACCUUUCAAGCGAGUGGCGAACGGGUGAGUAACACGUGGAUAACCUGCCUCAAGGCUGGGGAUAACAUUUGGAAACAGAUGCUAAUACCGAAUAAAACUUAGUAUCGCAUGAUAUCAAGUUAAAAGGCGCUACGGCGUCACCUAGAGAUGGAUCCGCGGUGCAUUAGUUAGUUGGUGGGGUAAAGGCUUACCAAGACGAUGAUGCAUAGCCGAGUUGAGAGACUGAUCGGCCACAUUGGGACUGAGACACGGCCCAAACUCCUACGGGAGGCUGCAGUAGGGAAUCUUCCACAAUGGGCGCAAGCCUGAUGGAGCAACGCCGCGUGUGUGAUGAAGGCUUUCGGGUCGUAAAGCACUGUUGUAUGGGAAGAAAUGCUAAAAUAGGGAAUGAUUUUAGUUUGACGGUACCAUACCAGAAAGGGACGGCUAAAUACGUGCCAGCAGCCGCGGUAAUACGUAUGUCCCGAGCGUUAUCCGGAUUUAUUGGGCGUAAAGCGAGCGCAGACGGUUGAUUAAGUCUGAUGUGAAAGCCCGGAGCUCAACUCCGGAAUGGUAUUGGAAACUGGUUAACUUGAGUGUUGUAGAGGUAAGUGGAAUUUCAUG
rnacentral:rRNA from 1 species